rnacentral:rRNA from 1 species
GUGGGGAAUAUUGCACAAUGGGCGCAAGCCUGAUGCAGCGACGCCGCGUGGGGGAUGACGGCCUUCGGGUUGUAAACUCCUUUCGCUAGGGACGAAGCGUAAGUGACGGUACCUGGAGAAGAAGCACCGGCUAACUACGUGCCAGCAGCCGCGGUAAUACGUAGGGUGCGAGCGUUGUCCGGAAUUACUGGGCGUAAAGAGCUCGUAGGUGGUUUGUCGCGUCGUUUGUGUAAGCCCGCAGCUUAACUGCGGGACUGCAGGCGAUACGGGCAUAACUUGAGUGCUGUAGGGGAGACUGGAAUUCCUGGUGUAGCGGUGGAAUGCGCAGAUAUCAGGAGGAACACCGAUGGCGAAGGCAGAUCUCUGGGCCGUAACUGACGCUGAGGAGCGAAAGCGUGGGGAGCGAACAGGAUUAGAUACCCGUGUAGUCC